GAUUUUGUUAUUGGAUGAGUGAUGAUUUGGUUUCCUUAAAUUUUUUUUAUACUGGUGACUAGAUCUACACUCAUCACAAUAAUAAAAUCAA